rnacentral:rRNA from 1 species
UGGGGAAUUUUGGACAAUGGGGGCAACCCUGAUCCAGCAAUGCCGCGUGUGUGAAGAAGGCCUUCGGGUUGUAAAGCACUUUUGUCCGGAAAGAAAACGUCGUGGUUAAUACCCGUGGCGGCUGACGGUACCGGAAGAAUAAGCACCGGCUAACUACGUGCCAGCAGCCGCGGUAAUACGUAGGGUGCAAGCGUUAAUCGGAAUUACUGGGCGUAAAGCGUGCGCAGGCGGUCCGCUAAGACAGAUGUGAAAUCCCCGGGCUUAACCUGGGAACUGCAUUUGUGACUGGCGGGCUAGAGUAUGGCAGAGGGGGGUAGAAUUCCACGUGUAGCAGUGAAAUGCGUAGAGAUGUGGAGAAUACCGAUGGCGAAGGCAGCCCCUGGGCCAAUACUGACGCUCAUGCACGAAAGCGU